ensembl:rRNA 5S_rRNA 5S ribosomal RNA
GUCUAUGGUCAUACCACCCUGAACACACUGGAUCUCGUCUAAUCUUGGAAGUUAAGCAGGGUCAGGCCUGGUUAGUACUUGGAUGGAAGAAAUUCAAUAUUGUUGCAAGGUUUGAUAAAUA